rnacentral:rRNA from 1 species
GCUGUGGAACUCCUACGGGAGGCAGCAGUGGGGAAUAUUGCACAAUGGGGGAAACCCUGAUGCAGCGACGCCGCGUGAACGAAGAAGGUAUUCGUAUCGUAAAGUUCUGUCCUAUGGGAAGAUAAUGACAGUACCAUAGAAGAAAGCUCCGGCUAAAUACGUGCCAGCAGCCGCGGUAAUACGUAUGGAGCGAGCGUUGUCCGGAAUUAUUGGGCGUAAAGGGUACGCAGGCGGUUUAAUAAGUCGAAUGUUAAAGAUCGGGGCUCAACCCCGUAAAGCAUUGGAAACUGAUAAACUUGAGUAGUGGAGAGGAAAGUGGAAUUCCUAGUGUAGUGGUGAAAUACGUAGAUAUUAGGAGGAAUACCAGUAGCGAAGGCGACUUUCUGGACACAAACUGACGCUGAGGUACGAAAGCGUGGGGAGCAAACAGGAUUAGAAACCCGUGUAGUCCUACCACGU